AUUAUUGAUUUCAUCAGGCAUUCACACCAUGGUGGUCUUCAAGAUAGUGGUCGCUUAUUGCUAUCGAUAGUUUUAUUAUAAUGAAAUAAAUGUUGAAAAUGUGUUUAUUUUGUAUUUGUUUGAAACGGUUUACAAAACAAUUGUUUUGUAAAAUUAACGCUACGUCAUAAAUGAGUCUUUUACAUUCAAUGUUUAGUUCCAAUAUAGCGGGAUAUUCCGAAUGUGCAAUAUACCAAAAUCGCAACAAACAGUCCAAUAAGUGAUACCCAUCCUGUCUAGUGUAAUUGUAAUAAAAACAACGAGGUGCUAUGCAUGACAGUUUGACCCUACUCCAAUUAAGC